ACCUACCUCGCGCCGGCGUUCUUCUUCGCGUAUCUGCUCUCGCCGCCGCUCCAGCUCCAGCAUCAUUUCGCGCUCCAUCUCAGCCUUGGCGGUCUCAACGCGUCGAUUGACCUCCUGUUCGAUUUCGUCGCGACGCUUUUCUAGCUCCUCCUCGACGCGCUUUUUUACCAGCAUCUCUAUGCGCUUGGCGGCUUCCUCUUCGAUUGUCUUUUGCUCGAGCUCCUUCGCCCGACGCUGCCGCUCCAUCUCGGCCAGGCGUUCGACCUGCAUCUGGUUUUGCUGUAAUGGUAGAUCAUAGUUUAGUUGCUUUCAUCGAAACAGUUGUAUCAUAAGCGCAGCAUGAGUGUCCAUCCCGGAAAAAUGCGUGUAUGGAAUGCGUACCCAUGGAGUGCUCAAGAUGACAGACUAUGGACACUAUCCACUUACCUCAUCCAGCUUCUUAAAGCGGCUGCGCUUCUGUUUGCUACGUUGCGACUCCUGCUCGGAGUACUGACUGUCGCUGCUCGACGAGCUGGAGCGUUUUCGGGAUUUCAGGAUCGAGGGGGAGUGACGGUAGUCGCGCUCAGUGUGUCGGUCGCUGCGGUGUCUAUCCCGCUCGCGGUCCCUGUCCCGUUCGCGAUGUCGUCCAUGGUUGUUCACCUCCGAGGACUUGUCUCUAUCCGUUCUUGUGCUGGGCCGCUCGUGGUCGUGGUGGGACUUACUGCGUUUUUUGUGCUUGCUCUUAUGGUGGCGUCGCUUGCCCGACGGACUGGGUGUACGUGAACGGGAGCCCAUGGUGCUGGAUUGUGUGAUUGUAUAAGAUUUCGAGCUAGUCGAAGGGCUUAACUUGGCUGCCACAACAAAUCAAUGAGAGCGAAUUUAAUUUCUCGAGCAAUUUUCACAGAUGCCUUAAAACAGUGUGCACAACGUUGGCAUACUGGCCUGACAUAAUUCUGGUAUUUUUUUUGAUACGGUAUUUUCUGUGCUUUUUUUAUUUUAAUUUCUGUGUUGCCCAACAUUAGACCGGCAAUUGUUUUCAGUUCACAUUGGUUUGUUUUGAUCUAAAAUCAUUUGGUGGAACUUGUCGAUCAUGACUUGGUUAUCCUUAAAGCCGACGCACUGCUUGGCCUCCUCCUUGGGCAGCCACUUGAGGUCGGUGUGCUCCUCGGAGAGAAUGGGCUCCUGGCAGGGAUUCCGCAGCUCCGCUAGCCAGUAAAUAACAAUCUUCGGCUUGUCUUGCACCUGAUAAUUCAGGGUCAGCGGAGUGUCCUUGUAUAUGAUCAGAUCCUUCUCGUCGUACCUAUGAGAGCAUUUUUGAAAUUAAGCAUGUUUUAAAAGAUAUAUCGUUGUGCACUUUCCCGGCUUCCUCUUUCGUUUCUCGCAGGGCAGUGGUAAAAUCAUCCUCGCCUGGGUCCACAUGUCCCUUGGGAGAACUCCAGUGGAAGGAGCCGUAGGAAGCCUUCAGCAAUAGGUAUUGUAUUUCCCCACAAAGGCGGCGAAAAAUAACAAAACCAGCUGCCUUUUCCAUGUUGUUGCUAUCAAUUAACCGAAACAGGUGUUUGAACAGUGCUCGAAAGUCUCCAAUAACAGUGGUGCUUUUCUAGCUGUUUCCCUCUUUUGCUU
ensembl:ncRNA asRNA:CR45007 antisense RNA:CR45007